GCCGCGCGCCGGGCCGGUUAAGGCGCGUGAUGACGGACUGGGGGAGCGUUUCCGGAAGCGCUGCCCGGACGGGCUUGUGCAGGACUUCAGGCGCUUCCGCCGCGAGUCGGCACAAUGAAGAGGGAGCAAUAACCGGAAGAGCCGAGGGUGCAAAUUAUUAUAUUGAACAUCAGCUAAAAUGGGAGAUGCUACAAAACCUUGCUUUGCCAAAAGAAAAAAAAGAGGGGAGCUUUAGAUGAAGAGGAAUUGAAGAGGAACCCUUCACAACAGGGCUACCACCCCAGGGAUGAUUAUGGACAUGGCAAAAAGAUAUGGGCUUUCAGAAGAAAAAGGGAACACAAGGUCACUGUGGAAACAGUCCCAGAAAAGGAUCACAUAGUAUUCUGAAUAGCUCAAAUUCUUUAAUAACAUGAAUCAGAACCAAGGGGUAAGAAUAAAUGAUACCCAAAAAGACCAGAUUAAGAAAUGGCUAUCCGAUGACCAUCCUGCUUUUUUUGUUUGCUUCCUUUAAUUGUAAAUGUUAAGUUUCUGAGGCUGUUAAAUCUCUCAUGAUAGCCUCAAUUUUGUGAUAGAUGGAAUCUUGCAACCUGACAUAUGGCUUUCCUUAAAACACCUGCAGGAUUUUCAGGUUGUUUCUUUAUUAUAGUGGCCUUAUUUGUAAAGUAAGAACAGGGAAUGAAAAUGGUUGUCUGACAACAAACAUUUGGCUACCAUUGGGAAAACUAGAACCAACUCUUGUACCUGUAUUGAUUGCCUUCAGGUACUGAGCAAAAGUGAGUCUUUUUUAAUAAAAAAAAACAAACACAAA